AAAACGCACAGCCCACUCAAAACACGCCCUAGUUCACACGCAGUGCAUCGCAACUGUUGAAUAUUAGACACAAAACUGCAACGCGUCGUUAAAAUGUCGAGUUUCACGAGGGGUGAUGGGGUCCUCGCGAGGGAUUCACACUACUCACUACUGAAACUAAUGGGACGCCGUUAGAAUGAACGAACGUCACUGUAUAAAACGUAAAGGUUCAAGUUCAGUUCUAGAUUUAAUUUGAUAUGCAUUAUAAAAAAAUAAAGUUAAGCACAAAUAUUGAGACGAAACAUUUGAUUGAAAUAAGGGAAACAUGCUUAAUAUAAAUAGCAUAAAAUACAUGGUAUCAAUAUACAUAUAUAUUUAAAUAAAAGUUUUAAAUCGUAAUCGAUUCAUAUAUUGCUUUAAAACAGACUUAUUGAAUAUUUGGACACUUGUCCAUGAUUAAUGUGCUGAACAACACUAACACACCUGUGUGAACUUAAAGAGAACACUGGCUUCAUCUACUAAAUAUCACCUCGACACAACUGCGUACAGUGCACAUGACCAGAAGGGGGCACUAGAUGAACAACAUCACACUGUCUUCUGUAGCAGGAAGACCAAAUGACAGCACAUGCAGAGGGACCGAGCCCGUGUGAAAGAGUUCUGAUGCUCACAGCGGAGACAAACCUGAGACGUGAAGAUCUGGCUGCUGUUGAUCAGAAGAAACCAGUCACU